AGUUAAAAAUAUGACCUAGCAUUUCCACUUCUGAGCAUAUAUCUGCAGAAACCUGAAACACUGAUCUGAAAGGGUAUAUGCACCCCUAUGUUCAUUGCGGCAUUAUUUACAACAGCGAAGAUUUCACAGCAGCCCAAGUACCCAGCAGCAGAUAAGCGGAGACAAAGCUGUGGUACAUUAUACACAACAGAAUACUACUCACCCGCAUACCCAAAAAGGAAAUCUUAUCUUUUGGAACAGCAUGGAUGGAGCUGAAAAGUAACACGUUGUGACACAUGCUACAACCUGGAUGCACCCUGAAGACAUGACGCUCAGGGAAAUAAGCCAAUCACAGAAAGACAAAUACUGUGUGAUCACUCUCACAUGAGGUCCCUGGAGCCAUCAGAGUCAUAGAGACACAGGAACGCUGGGCCAGGGUCCUGUCGACAGAGCAGAGUCACUUCUCGGUGUUUUGGUUGGGUCCCAGGCACACUGCCAAGGAGAGAGGCUACCCCAGGACAAGGAUGAAGGAAGGCAGCAUUGUCAUUGGAAGCCCGUGCCUUUUAAUCAUCUACAGAUCGCAACUGCAGAAACAACACUUAUGUUCUGUUAAAGAGAUGGCUCCAAUUUACCUGUCAACUUGACUGGGAGAUGAAAAAAGUAAUUCUGUUUUCCCGGGAAAGCAUCCUGUUAUAUGAAGCUUCCACACAGCUCAUGGGGAAAGAGGAGUCUAAGAUUAUCAGCAAACCAGAGCUUCCAGCAGAAGGACCUGGAUGGUGGCUUAGAUGCAGGGGGAGAGGAGCUGUGGGUGAGCUGGGCCCACACAGAGCACACCCCAGAGGCUAGCAUAGGUGCUACGCACGCUCUUGCUGAGGUCACCCCCAGGGCUGCUGAGACAGAAGUGAGGUGUGAACUUCAUAUGCUCACAGACUGACACAGUGGGCUCUCACCUCUGCCACU